GGCUGCGUACUCGCUGGUCCCCAAGCGCAGCGCAGCAGCUGAGCCAGCUGUUGGCAGCUGUGUCGCUCCACCACCGCAACCACCACGCCUUCUGCUGCUCGUGACCUGCCGUGGGCGUUCUGCAGGCCAGAUGAACCCAGCACUCCGCGAGGGGGCGACAAGGUGGCCUGGGAGGGAAAGACCCAGAUUGGGUCUUCAGCUGGAAUCGCGCUUGUACCAGGGAUGCUAGCAGAAAAGGAAGGAUUUUGGAAACAGCUGAAGUGGAGGACAGUUAACUCUGUCCUCCGGUGCCCCAGAGGAAACAGCUCCGGUAUCCCUUGACAACCUCUACAAAGAUGCUAGACUGUCUGGGUGGGAUAUGGGCGAGUGUGGGGGUGGAGAGCCGCUGCUGCACUCUGGUUGCUACCACGGAGUGACAGGUGACCACACCCUGCUUCAGAAGUCCGGAAGACAACUUUCCUUGUGUUAAGGGAACCCCUAGAUACCUAGCUCUGUUCCCUGGUGUACUGAUUCUUCUCCCUUGCUCCCCAACCCCUAAAAGCAGUGAUGGGCUCCAAGCCUUUGGGAUACCUUCCCCAGUCACUUUGGUGACUUGGUGCCUCUCUUGAAUCUGCUGGUGGGUGCUUUCCAACAGAGCCAGCGACGACUACCCUCUCAGCUGCAGACACUGGGGACAAUGCGCAGAUCUCUGCAAAGCUUGCGCAGUCUUGGACUGAGAGGACAACGGGAAGGAAACAGUCCUACAGCAGAGGGCAAAGGGCCACCUAUGGGAUGGCAUUCAGGAAGCAAGACAGGCUUGCUGCCAGAGCAAUAAGCCAGUGUGCCCAGCCUUUAGACAUUGCAAUGCCAUAAUGCCAUGUUUACAUCUACAAAGUUCACACUCAAGAAUCAAGAAAGGAAGAAUAGAUAUCUCCAAAUGUUUUAAAUGUAGCCAGAACCAUG